UUUCUGCAUCAAUAUACCUUCAAGCCGACAAGGGAAUAAUGAUAUUCCUCUCUGCUCAUUAUAAUGAUGAAAACGCAGAAAAUGAGAAAACCAGAGGAGAUGAUGGCAGUUGUUGAUAAAAUAGAAGAAGAAGAUGGUGUAAUAACUGUCUAUUUUAACACUCCUUACGAGGUAGAAGUUGAUGAUCCUAUUAUUGAGUUUACUUCCAACAAGAAACUAUCUCAACUGAGACCAGUUUACACAUCAGCAGG